GACGAACGCUGGCGGCGUGCCUAACACAUGUAAGUCGCACGGGACCGGGGGCAACUCCGGUUCAGUGGCAGACGGGUGCGUAACACGUGAGGAACCUGUCCAACGGUGGGGGAUAGCCGGCCCAACGGCCGGGUAAUACCGCAUACGAUCGUUCGGGGGCAUCCCUGGGCGAUGAAAGCAGCCGCAAGGUUGCACCGAUGGAGGGCCUCGCGGCCUAUCAGCUCGUUGGCGGGGUAAUGGCCCACCAAGGCGACGACGGGUAGCUGGUCUGAGAGGAUGGCCAGCCACAUUGGGACUGAGACACGGCCCAGACUCCUACGGGAGGCAGCAGUGGGGAAUCUUGCGCAAUGGCCGCAAGGCUGACGCAGCGACGCCGCGUGUGGGAUGACGGCCUUCGGG
rnacentral:rRNA from 1 species